AGUCGGGACGGGAUAAACGCUGAAGGCAUCUAAGCGUGAAGCCCCCCUCAAGAUGAGAUAUCCCAAAGAACGAAAGUUUAAGUAAGACCCCUUGAAGACGACGAGGUAGAUAGGCUUAAGGUGGAAGUAUAGUGAUAUAUGAAGCUGAUAAGUACUAAUUGGUCGAGGGCUUAACCAAU
rnacentral:rRNA from 1 species